rnacentral:rRNA from 1 species
GAAGAUGGGAGCUUGCUCCCUGAUGUUAGCGGCGGACGGGUGAGUAACACGUGGGUAACCUGCCUGUAAGACUGGGAUAACUCCGGGAAACCGGGGCUAAUACCGGAUGCUUGUUUGAACCGCAUGGUUCAAACAUAAAAGGUGGCUUCGGCUACCACUUACAGAUGGACCCGCGGCGCAUUAGCUAGUUGGUGAGGUAAUGGCUCACCAAGGCAACGAUGCGUAGCCGACCUGAGAGGGUGAUCGGCCACACUGGGACUGAGACACGGCCCAGACUCCUACGGGAGGCAGCAGUAGGGAAUCUUCCGCAAUGGACGAAAGUCUGACGGAGCAACGCCGCGUGAGUGAUGAAGGUUUUCGGAUCGUAAAGCUCUGUUGUUAGGGAAGAACAAGUGCCGUUCAAAUAGGGCGGCACCUUGACGGUACCUAACCAGAAAGCCACGGCUAACUACGUGCCAGCAGCCGCGGUAAUACGUAGGUGGCAAGCGUUGUCCGGAAUUAUUGGGCGUAAAGGGCUCGCAGGCGGUUUCUUAAGUCUGAUGUGAAAGCCCCCGGCUCAACCGGGGAGGGUCAUUGGAAACUGGGGAACUUGAGUGCAGAAGAGGAGAGUGGAAUUCCACGUGUAGCGGUGAAAUGCGUA